GGCGCUGGCGGCUCCCGCCCCCCUCAGCCCGGCGCCAUCUUGGCGCUUUAGCGGAGCCCGAGCUUUUCCCCUGGUGGAGCUCGGGCCUUGCGCUGUCCCGCUGGGAAACGGGCUCGGGCCGUCAGGAGAGGCGGCGGGAGCUACCCGUGUUUAGCCUAGGGAAGGGAAGGCUGAGAGGGGAUCUCGUUUAUAUACGUCCUGUGAGGAGCGGCUGAGGGGGCGUCUCAGCCUGGCGAAAAGGGGGCUCAGGGGGACCUUACUGCUGUCUGCAGCUACAGGAGGGUGCAGCCAGGUGUGAGUCGGCCUCUCCUCCCACGGAACCAGCGACGGAACGAUGGGGCAGAGCCUUAAGCUGCUCAAGGGCAACUUUAGCAACUGUAGUUUGCAUUUACUGCAUCUCAUUUGGAACCCUAAGUUGGAAGCCAAGUUUCACGAGAAGG